AAUCAGUGACGGUAAGUGGUUUUAGAGAAAACAGCCCCGAGCACUGUUCCUUCUAAGAGGACUGUUACACCUUAAUAAAUUCUCUAGCUGUUUUUUGACUGUUUGCAGAUAACAGGAAACUCUUAUUCAAAAAUAUAUUAACCUCCCACCCCUACCCCCCAGCCAAUCAGCCCGGCAGCAUUUGAACUUGCUGGGGCACAUAGCCAAAGCAGCUUUUACUUGGUCUCAGCCAUUUCCCCCCCCCACACACACACCUGUUCCUUCUCUGUAGGCUUCUGCUCGGGGUCAGGCAGCCUGGAACUGCAUUUGAAAUGAUUCUGAACAUAUAACAGGAAAGGAGUGUACACCCACCAAACAAGACCACGUAAGGAACACUGUGAUCGGUGCAUCUGUGCGGCUCACUCCGGAGUCCCAGCCCUCACCAGCUGCGUGGUGACAUCUCUUGGAAGGCAUUAUCUACCUUAACCCACGAUUCUGAGAUGCUGGGCAGGGGGACUGCCUUUGCCAUCUGGAGAGCCGCUACCUGUCCUGCUCCUUCCGGUGGCCCGAGAGAGGGUGCGAUUUUAAAAAAUUCAUAUAUGCAGAGAAGAAAAAUUUGACCCAGAGGAAAGGCCAUGUGAGAAGGUCGUUGUCUGCAAGCCAAGGAGAGAGACCUCAGAAGAAACCAAACCUGCUGACACCGUGACUUUGGGCCACCAGCUUCCAGAACAUUCCCAGGCCAAGGAUCAGAUCUGAACCGAAGUUGCAACCGACACCACCGCUGCUGGACUGGGCCAGGAUUGAACCUGCAUCCAUCCUGGCGCUGCAGAGAUGCUGCCGAUCCUGUUGCACCAUGGCGAGAACUCCCCCAUGGAAAGUUUUUUAAGCAAAAAGGAAAUCUUUGGGGUCAGAUGACUGGGGUAGCUUCUAACAACUGCAGAGUGAUUCCAGGCACCAGGGCCUCACCUGCGAGGUCCUCGUACCACACUCUCUCGCUGAGGCCCUUGGCCUGGUUUGUGCAGAGAAAACGACCACUAAGAGAAUGCCAGAGUCUCUUUGCCCAAAAAAAGGACAUCUCCCAUCGCAGAUGCUCGCUUUGCAAUGUGACUUUGGCGUUCCUCACGGUGGGAGCCGGGGUCUAUGUUUUCUGCAUUUGAAUCUGGGUGGACCCGUGACUAUAGUGGAACUGGCCCUACAUGACUUCCAAGGCUGGGUCACGAAGGACGACACAGUUGCGGCCUGGUUUGCUGGCACAUUGCCUUUGGAGUCCUGAGCUGAGCUGCCCAGGCAGGAGCCCGAGGCUGCCAUGCUGUCCCAUGAAAGUGUUCUGACCUAGAGCCCCAGCUGAAGGCCCAUCGACCAGCCAGCAUCAACCACCUCAUAUGAGUGAAGCUGCCUCCACGGACUCUGGUCCCCUGCUAUUGAGUUCUCCCUGUAGAGGCCCCAGGUAUUGGGGAGCAGGGACACGUCCUCCCCAGUGCGCCCUGUCAGAAUUCCUGCCCUGCAGAAUCUGCGCGCAUGAUAAAAUGGUAGUUUUAGGCUCCGC
rnacentral:lncRNA from 1 species